CCUACGGGCGGCAGCAGUCGAGAAUCAUUCACAAUGGGGGAAACCCUGAUGGUGCGACGCCGCGUGGGGGAAUGAAGGUCUUCGGAUUGUAAACCCCUGUCAUGUGGGAGCAAAUUAAAAAGAUAGUACCACAAGAGGAAGAGACGGCUAACUCUGUGCCACCAGCCGCGGUAAUACAGAGGGCUCAAGCGUUGUUCGGAAUCACUGGGCGUAAGGCGUGCGUAGGCUGUUUCGUAAGUCGUGUGUGAAAGGCGCGGGCUCAACCCGCGGACGGCACAUGAUACUGCGAGACUAGAGUAAUGGAGGGGGAACCGGAAUUCUCGGUGUAGCAGUGAAAUGCGUAGAUAUCGAGAGGAACACUCGUGGCGAAGGCGGGUUCCUGGACAUUAACUGACGCUGAGGCACGAAGGCCAGGGGAGCGAAAGGGAUUAGAUACCCCGGUAGUC
rnacentral:rRNA from 1 species